AUUGAACGCUGGCGGCAUGCUUUACACAUGCAAGUCGAACGGUAACAGGUUAAGCUGACGAGUGGCGAACGGGUGAGUAAUGCAUCGGAACGUGCCCGGUCGUGGGGGAUAACGCAGCGAAAGCUGCGCUAAUACCGCAUACGAUCUAAGGAUGAAAGCGGGGGACCGUAAGGCCUCGCGCGAUCGGAGCGGCCGAUGUCAGAUUAGGUAGUUGGUGGGGUAAAGGCUCACCAAGCCAACGAUCUGUAGCUGGUCUGAGAGGACGACCAGCCACAUUGGAACUGAGACACGGUCCAGACUCCUACGGGAGGCAGCAGUGGGGAAUUUUGGACAAUGGGCGCAAGCCUGAGCCAGCAAUGCCGCGUGCAGGAUGAAGGCCUUCGGGUUGUAAACUGCUUUUGUACGGAACGAAACGGCCCUUUCUAAUACAGGGGGCUAAUGACGGUACCGUAGAAUAAGCACCGGCUAACUACGUGCCAGCAGCCGCCGUAA
rnacentral:rRNA from 1 species